GGGCACAUGGUGUAGUUGGUUUAUCACGCCCGCUUAGCAUUUCGUAUAAUUGCGGGAGGUGUUGGGUUCAAUUCCCAAUGUGUCCA